rnacentral:rRNA from 1 species
CUGCUUCGCUGACGAGUGGCGGACGGGUGAGUAAUGUCUGGGAAACUGCCUGAUGGAGGGGGAUAACUACUGGAAACGGUAGCUAAUACCGCAUAACGUCGCAAGACCAAAGAGGGGGACCUUCGGGCCUCUUGCCAUCGGAUGUGCCCAGAUGGGAUUAGCUAGUAGGUGGGGUAACGGCUCACCUAGGCGACGAUCCCUAGCUGGUCUGAGAGGAUGACCAGCCACACUGGAACUGAGACACGGUCCAGACUCCUACGGGAGGCAGCAGUGGGGAAUAUUGCACAAUGGGCGCAAGCCUGAUGCAGCCAUGCCGCGUGUAUGAAGAAGGCCUUCGGGUUGUAAAGUACUUUCAGCGGGGAGGAAGGCGAUAAGGUUAAUAACCUUGUCGAUUGACGUUACCCGCAGAAGAAGCACCGGCUAACUCCGUGCCAGCAGCCGCGGUAAUACGGAGGGUGCAAGCGUUAAUCGGAAUUACUGGGCGUAAAGCGCACGCAGGCGGUCUGUCAAGUCGGAUGUGAAAUCCCCGGGCUCAACCUGGGAACUGCAUUCGAAACUGGCAGGCUAGAGUCUUGUAGAGGGGGGUAGAAUUCCAGGUGUAGCGGUGAAAUGCGUAGAGAUCUGGAGGAAUACCGGUGGCGAAGGCGGCCCCCUGGACAAAGACUGACGCUCAGGUGCGAAAGCGUGGGGAGCAAACAGGACUAGAUACCCUGGUAGUCCACGCCGUAAACGAUGUCGACUUGGAGGUUGUGCCCUUGACGCGUGGCUUCCCGAAGCUAACGCGUUAGGUCGACCGCCUGG